GUCAAGUCAUCAUGGCCCUUAUGUCCAGGGCUACACACGUGCUACAAUGGGAGGUACAAAGUGACGCGAAGCCGCGAGGCAAGAGCGAAGCGCCAAAAGCCUUCCGUAGUUCGGAUUGAAGUCUGAAACCCGACUUCAUGAAGUUGGAAUCGCUAGUAAUCGCGCACCAGCAUGGCGCGGUGAAUACGUUCCCGGGCCUU
rnacentral:rRNA from 1 species